GCCAGCUAAGAAAGAAACUACACUCCCACCCCAUUUAUGACUCGCCUCGACAGCUCCUGGAAGGGUGGCCACUUCCGAAUAUAUCAGGCCUUAUAAGGAAAUACAGCAUGUCAUUCCUUUGCUGUUAGAAACCUACUAGCAAUUUUCAUUGUACCUCCUCCUCGUUCUUUUACAUCUCCUCCUCCACUAGCCCCAGCACCCCCACCCCCAACACGACUCAGCAGUUGGUGAUUAACCAGGAGAAAAACAAGCUUUGCCUAUCAGCAUUGGAAGGAAACGAAAUGAUUCACAGUAGCAGGAAACUAAGCUUCAUGGAAACAUUCAAGGAACUGGACUUGCUUUAUUUGGAAGAGACAUUUUCACCAUGAUUGGAUUGGAAUUCUUAACAUAGUAAGCAGGAAGAUUGAUUGAGGCUGCAAAAGGAUUCAAAUUGUGAGGUGGAUGUUGAAUAAAGGGUAUCUCUGACUAAGAAGUAACAACAGUUGUGGCCACUAACUGCCACAAAUAGGCUUGGGUUCAUAAGAUGCAUUUGGGAAAGAGGAGACAUCCAUGAGCCCAGUGACAAGGUACGUCUUCCAUGAAGUAUUUUCACCACAAGAUUGACAAAACUGGUCUGUACAAAAGGUUUACAUAAUGAAGUUUGCAAACAAAAAACAAGGAAUCUCGGAUCAAGAAGGGACAUCAAAUGGAAUCUUUUGCCAUCAAGUAGUUUAGAGAAGACGGCGAAUGUGGAUAUUAUACUUCUCCACCCAACACAGUAAAUUUGAAAUUAUUUAAUUGCUGUGAAGUACUUUAGGAGUCUUGAGGUCAUUAAAGGCACCACAUAAAUGGCUGUUCUCCUCCGAUACA